rnacentral:rRNA from 1 species
GAUUCCAAGAGUCCUAAUUGCCGGAAUCGUUUGGCACCUCGAUGUCGGCUCAUCUAUCCUGGGUACGUAGGAAGAUCCAAGGGUACGUCUGUUCGACGUUUAAAAAGGUACGUGAGCUGGGUUAGAACGUCGUGAGACAGUUUGGUCCUAUCUACUAUGGGUGAUAAAAUUGAAAGGUUCACGAGCUAGUAUGAGAAGAAUGCAUGGGUUUAUAGAGCUAAUGAUAUAUUUGUUUUUAUAUUACAAAAUUAUAAAUAGAAUAUAGUUUUUUACAGGUAAAUGCGUGCUGAAUCUCUUGUUUAUGGGUUGUUUUAAGUAGAGCAUAUCCAGAAGCUAAAUUCAUUUGAUCGGACCACUGAAAACAUAUAAGUUGGGAAGUUCUCCUUAAAAAAAUUUUAUAGAAAAAAUUCUAGAUAAGAAUGUCGAUAGGUAUCCAGUGUAAGUAAUGUGAGUUAUUUAGCUAAGAUACACUAAUUUUUCAAAAUAUUUCUUAA